rnacentral:lncRNA from 1 species
GAUGAAGGGAGGAGCUAGGCCAAGGAGAAUGGGUUUCUAACACUUGAAUAGAGGAGCUUUUCUGCCCUGACGAAUGGGUUAGGGGUCCCCGGAGGCGUCGGUUCCUUAACUUUCAGCCACCUUCCCACUCCUCAUCUGUCUCAGGAACCUGUUUUGGGUUCUCUGUCCUGGAAGACUGCUCAUGCUCACUUAUGUAACAUUGCCACCAUGAAGCCUCAGUGUCAUCAGCAGGCGUGUCCACGGCCCAGGAGGCAAACCCAGACCUUCACCAACACUCCAGCAGGUGUCUGCUUAUGCAGUCGUGUCUAGGGCUGUCCGCAGGGGUGUCAUUGAAGUCCUUCAAUAUGAGGCUGAAAGCAACUGUAACGAUAACAAAUCUAACAAAUGACACAGGUUAUUGAAAACACCCAACAUUCCAAUGGUGCUUUGGGCGGCAGUACCAGUGAGGUUGGAGACGAGAACUGAUUGGAAAUCGUUCCCCUCUGACGAGGAUCACAUUAAGUGUUAUAGAUGGUAAGCAGCAGCAGGAUUGGAACAUUUGACUUUUGGAGUGUACAUUUUGCAUCAACCUCGCCUGUGACAGCGGCCACGUCAGAUUAAAGGCUUUACUGUAUCAUUAAAAUAGUGCCAUCUAGUGGUGGAUAUUUCAAACUGUAGCUAGGUGUCCUAAGGGUUGUCACAAACUCUCAAGGGGUCUGUACCCAUGUAUAUGUGUAUGUGUAUAUACACACAUAUGUGAUAUGUAUGUGUAUAUAUAAUUAUAACUUAUGACAGGAAUAUUUACUUAUGUAUCUAUUCCAUCACCAAAUUUAUUUGCCAAUUAUUCCAGAAUGGGCCUCUUGAUGGGGGUUGUAUUCAAGGAGUAAGGAAGGCUGCUCUGAUCUCCAGGGGUUUCUAGUCUAGAUCUUUGAAAUCCAGAGUUAAUGGCUCUGACACAAGAACAUGGGGGCAUCCAGGAGACUCCAGUGUCCAAAGCUUUAGUGGCAUUGUUGGAAGUCCUACCUACAUAUAAAGACGCACCAUGCUUGGAAGCAUGGAAGUCAGGAAGAGGCCACAGAGAUGUGCCAUCUACUUGAGCUAGCAUAGGAUUCCUGGACUUCUAAGAUCUCCUUUGGGGUCUCCGAGUGUCUCUGGCCCUGGGUCUAAGUCAGGAACCAGCAUGAGCUUAGGUUCACUAUGGAGUUCUCUUUCUUUCGUGGAGUUGCCUGCUGGCCCUUCUAGGAUGCAGCUAGCCGAACAUGAUGGUGUGUUGAAAGCCUUGAAUGUUUCUCAGAAAAACAACAGUAAAUUUUAUGUUCCUU